rnacentral:rRNA from 1 species
AUGGGCUAUAAAUGUCGUUUGCAGCUCGCCGUCUUGUUGGUUCCAGCUUGCCACCGUGCCGGUUGCAGCAUCCGCGCACGGGCGUGGUCACCAUGCUCCCAGCAUUCGGCGGUUCAUGGUCACCAUGAUUCCAGCAUAUGCACAACAUGUUUCCAGCAUCUAGCAAAAUGCAGUUUCGUCGCCGCGGUCCAGCAUCUGGAAAAACACCCUUCCAGCAUUCUACUAUGGUUCCAGCAUCCUCACAUCGUGGUUGUAGCUCACCACCUUGCUGGAUACAACUUGUCACCGUGCGAGGUGCGACUGUGUAGGCCGCGCAUUGGAGCUCCGUAA